rnacentral:lncRNA from 1 species
CUGAAACAAUAAAGAUAGCACAAAUCCAAACCAGUAAGUACUAAGUACAUAUAUUACUUCAAUUUUCUUUUAUAACUAUCAUCAUAUCAUGCUCUUGGUUUUAAUUUGUUCAUAAGUAAUAACGAUUGAUAGCUGCAACUAGAAACCUGCCCAUCCAGCAGGUUUGGUCGAAGCAGCGGGCCUGAUCGAAGCAGUAGGCUUGGUUGAAGUGGCCGGCUUGACUGAAGUAGUAGGCUUGAUUGAAGUGGCUGGCUUGGCUGAAGUAGUAGGCUUAGUGGAAAUGACUGGCUUAGUUGAAGCGGUUUCGGAUUUUUUUACCUCACUGUUGUUGUACCGAUGGGAGGUAUUUCCCUGAGGAAUAGGGGCUGCUGUGAAACUCUCCUUCCCAAAGCCCCAGGUACCAUUUGUACUAGCACCUGUGCUUGAAGGUCCACCACUUCCUUGACGGUUGAUUGUUGUCCGAACUGAUUUGGGACGACUUCCCUUUGUGGUGGACUGAUUUGCUAAUGGCUUUGGCUCAUUAGCAAAUGGUUGCCAUGAGUUUUGAUCUGGAUUUGAUGAAAGGGGGACAUUUGCAAACAUUUCUUGCUGGAGUUCUAAUACAGAUCCUUCAAUUUUUUCCCUCUGCCGUAGCAUGGAAAUAACAAUUAAAUUGUUGAACCAACCAAGAGCACAUGAAGAGUUCAUUAGGGAUAAAAAUUUAAAAUACCUGAGAGGAUGGUGGCAAGCUCACACCAGUAAUUUGGUGUCUCUUAUUGUCUUUGUUUGGUGAAGAUUGCCUCACUUUAGUAACUUUCUGCUUUAACUCCUGAAUCUCUUGCCGUUGGGAACGGCAAAUAGAGGACAAUUUUUCGUACUUGGAAUUUAUCUCAGUUUUUUCUAAAUUAGAUUGCUUCAGCUGCUCCUUCAAUUUAUCCACUUCAACUAAUAACUCCUUUUCAGACUUACUGUUAUUAUUACCGUUAGCAGUACUAAGUUUUGUAGUGUCAAAAUCAGCAACGAAAGUAUUGAAUGCUUCAUUUCCAAAUGUAGGUGUUUUCUCGGACAAUGAUGAUCUGAUUUUUGAAUUUUCAACAUGUGAUUCCCGUGUCUUUCCUGAACCACUGUCGCUAUCAAAUCUAAUUUCAAAGUCCUCAUUGGUAUCAUACGAUUUGUUCAAGGGAUUCCCAGAAUUGAUUUUGUUCAGUGGUUUUUGAGGGUGUGGUUCUCUUGGAGGACUAGUUCUCUUCACAUAACUCUGCUGGCUCGGUUUAGGUGUGACCUGGCUUAUAGGUUCUUCAUGAUAUGUAGCCCAAAACAUACCUAAGGGUGCUCCAUCACCACUUGUUUUAGAAGAACUCACGGAAACUUUGUGCUGCUGCUCUUUGUUUGCAUAUUGUGGCGAUUUUUUACGAGCAUGUUCACUUUUAGAAGCUGAAGACACAGGUGUUCCUUUCGUGGAUCCUAAAAACAAAUUGACUUAUCAGAAAAGCAAAUAAAUUGACUUAUCAGAUAAUACUGUGAGGCAGCCUCUGAUUACCAAAAGAUUAUUUUGAAACAAUUCACAAAAAAUGACCUUCGUAGCGUGCAUUUACAGGUGGCAUUUGCAUAUUUGGAAUUGUUGUUUUAGGAGGGCCAUCAGGUGUCUCCUUUUGCAACUGUACAGGGAGUAGUAAGUUAACGCGAAACCACACCUGCCAGAAAUAAAAAGGUGUCAAUAUAAUUCAGGUUCUCCAAAAUCAUGAUCAUUGCAUGUGCAACAAUCAAAAACUAACCUAGAUUCAUGGAGAUGAAUGGCCAAUCAAGCAAAGCUCUUGCCUGCGUUAUAUCUGGUCGGGAAUUUGGUGAGCCUUGCAGCAUAUCCUUGAUCAUAUCUUUUAUGGAAGAACUGUACUUUGGCAGCUCUGGAAUAUGAUAGUUUCCAUUCAAGACCUGCAACUUUGAUUCGCCGUCAAAUGCAGACUUGAAGUAGCAAAUUCGGUAGAGAAGACAUCCAAGAGCCUGCACAAAAAUUAUCUAACUUGAGUUCAAAAAUAAAUAAAUAAUCUUUCUUUCCUACAAAGAAGAAAGGUGUGUCAAUUUAUGUUGCAAUUGGUCAUAAAUUCAGAAUCUGUAAAGCAGGGAUCAAACCAUAUGAUCUCAGAAGUUAUGAAUGAAAUAAUUUCAUAUAAUGAUGCAAUACAAUAAAAAACAGUGUUUUUCAUUUUGGGAUUUGCAAUCGAAAAAAAAUCCAGUGAUAUGACUACUAAUACUUUUUUUAGAGGAUAAAUUUUUAUUCGAUAUGAAGUGGGUCUUUAUAUUAUAGAUACCUCUAAGCUCUAGGGAAUUAUAGAUACUAGCUUACUAGUUACUAAUUAAGUGACUACUCUCCACUGAUUCAUUGCAUUAACUUCUAUAAUCCCCCUAGGUCUGGUGGAUUUGCUUUCACAUCAAAGAAGAUCAUGCAGUCCUUGACUAUUUCCCUUGUAACUACAUCCUUUGGUCUGGUUGUGUUCUGCCAUUUUAUAUUUCUUUCCUUCCAGAGGUACAAAGCAGUUCCACCCAAGAAAGUCUAGAGUAACCUCCAGCAAUUGGAGCCCCUUCUUAGAAGUUGAAUACUGUCAAUUAUGCCUCCCACCUUGAUGUCUCCAUUUGAAGGCAGUUUUGUAUUCCACAGGAUAUGAUUUCUUACAGCAGAGCAGUUUAGGAGGACAGAUUUGGAGUAGGGAUAGUUGAAAAAGAGAUGGCUAAUGAUUUCCUUACAUUUCCCCACAGUACACAUAGAGGGCAGGGUAUACUAUUCCCCAUUGCCUAAGGGUGUGAAAUGAGUGUAGGUAGCCCCAUCUAAGUCUCCAUAGGGGGACUGAAAACUUGGUGGGCUUCCUAGACCAUAUUCCUUUUACUAGGGGGUCUUUUCCUGAGACUGUGGGAGGAUACCCUUACAUAAGUUCUGUAAGGACAUUCUUGGAUUUUGUCCCUUCAAGAUCAUCACAUAAUAAUCACAUAAUUUCCAGCACAAUCCAUGAUAUUAUACGAGUCCUUUAUAUCUUAGAUUCUUAGUAUUGCCAUCCACAUGGUAGAGUCCUAUGCUUGCCAUCUCCUUGUCCUUUAUAUCUCUCUCUCUUACCCAAGAGGACAGUACAGACUCACUGUUUGUCCAAACAUUGUGGAGUCUUUUCAUGUGUGAUGCUCUCUAGCAGAUGCCUCAAAGAUCUUUACUCCCAACAUCAGGCAACUCUUCUUUUUUGGAAGGAUGAUGCUUUCCCGGGGGAGAAGUGUUUUCCAUCAUAUAUGAACUUCUAUGUUGUUUGCAUAGUUUUGAAAGCGUGCUAAAACUCCAAAGCGCUCUACAAGGAAUGUUUUUCCUAGAGCGGGCGGGUUUGGGUAAAGAUCUGUCUGAUUACCUGAUUACACCUAUUAUUUAAUAAUAUUUUCACUUAAUAUACUUUUUUCCUACUCUACCCCUCUAUUCUAACUUAAAUUAAAAACCCUUAUCCCACUUUAGGAUUUUAAUUGGAUUUAGUUGUAGUUGGAUUUCAUUUUAUUUGUAUGAAUUCAUUCUUUAAUGUUCUAUUACGUGUGACUUUAUACUUUUAUAUGGUUUUAUAUGUAUUUAUAUAGGAUUAUAUGUAUUUUUACAGGAUAUUACUAAAAUACCCCUGACACUUUAAGUGCUUUUUGCUUUUUUGAACAUAGAUUUUUUGUCUCACUAUAGUGAUGACAUUAAUGGGUAGUAGACUAGUAGUGCCAUUAAUCCAGUAAGAGAACACACCAGCAAAUAUCUAGUUCAGAAGUUGUAUUCUCCCCCUUUAGGAGAGGCAUCUAGCUAGAAUCCUUUCCUUAGGUUGGAUUAGGUUCAUACUUCAUAGUUCAUACACUAUCAAAGACUUCCUUUUACCAAAGAUGCAGAUCCUUAGAAGAGAACCCUAUGGUCCCUUGUAUGUGAUGGAGGGGUGGGGGCUCUACCACUUUGGAGUAGUGUCUACUCUUUUCAUGGUUAACAGUUAACUUCCAGUCCUGAGAAAUUAAGGCUUCAAGGGCUGAUUUUAUAGCUAGCAAGGAUUUUGGGUUGCCUUUUGUGAAUAUCAAAAUGUCAUCAGCGUAUAUGAGAUAAGACAUGGAUUUAGUGCCAUACACCAUAUAUAUAUCAAUCCUCCCCUCUCUCACAGUCUCACCCCCUUUUCAAUGAGCCCACUCAGCAUGUCCAUUAAAAGAUUAAAAAAGAGUAUUGGAUAUAUGGGAUCUUCUGGUCUAAGCCUUCUUUAGCUUUUGAAGGGAUUGGUGGGGAAUCCUUCUACUAAGACAGAGAAGGAGGCAGUUUGAAUGUAAUUUUUUAUUAGGUUUAUGAAGUAGGGGGGAAUCACAUGAUUACUAAUACUUAGUUUCUAGUUAGCAUCAUGAUAAUUGUGUUAUAUUAAUGAUAAUAAAUGAUCAUUAAUAUAAUUUCCUACUUAUAUAAAAUAUGGGUCGGUACACGGUAUUAGACCUACUGUAAAAUCUAUUGGAUAGAUAUCCAUUAGAUAACUUACAUACUAAGGUAACUUCUACCUUAGGGAAAAGAUAAACCUUAUCUUGGAUAAGGUUAUCUAUCUCACAGGACUUAUCUCAAUUGUAAUAAUCUAUAAAAGGAACGUACAUCAAUGAAAAGAAGGCAAUCUGUUUUCAUAUAAUUCUCACGAAUUAAAUAAAUAUGUUAGCAUUUAAAGUUUGAAAUUUAAGAUGGUACAUUAAUAGGGGGGAUAUAACACAAACUCAAGCUUAACUUUGAAGAACAUUUAAAGUGGAGUUCCUAAAGUAGAAUGUAAUUCUAUUCAGUAUUUAGAAUAAUAGUAGCAAAUUUACCCCACUAUAUUUAUGUGGGGAUCAGUAACUUGAAGCAUAAAGGCCCAAUUCGUGCUCUUAUAUCAUGGGGCACGAUUAGUCCUCUUAAUUUGGCCCAAUAACACAUCUCAUGGAAGUCCACUACCAAUGAGAUUGAGUAUUAAUACACUGGAGGGCACUUUUUACAACUUAAUCAAAGAUACCUCUCUAACUUCUCUUUCUUCUAUGUUCUAUUUUUCCUCUAUUGUUCUUCUGCAUCUGGAGGAUUUCAGAUUUAUCUCUAGUUGGUGGAUUCCAACCCUGUUCUUCCUAAAUUCUAACAAACUAUUUGGCUAAUUGUUCAGUAGGUGAGUAUUGGAGUCUAAUAAACUGGCAACCAAAACCAUGUGGCAUGUUAAGCAACACGAGCAUCUCACCAAACACUGAACCCAUAAGCACAACACCAACAUGACACCAGUUCAUCCCAGCAAACACAUCAGGAACAAAAAAGUCGAUAAAGACUAAGCGAGCAGUGCCUUCACAAAUCACAAUACAUGCCUUGACACCAAGUAAUGAGUAAAAGAGACACCAUACAGUGACUAGAUGGAAGAAGAAGAAAACAUGAGAAUUAUCCAUAGAGAAACAAUCCAAUAUCAAAAACUAACUUGUAUUCGAUUUACUAAAAUCUAAAUAAUUGUAAAAAGUAUAUCUCUAUAGAUAUAAUAGAGUAAAUAGACUAAGGUGACCUAAUCAUAUAGUCUGCAACCACUUGGUCAAGACAUUAAACAUCAAGUAACUAAAGCCACAUUUGUUUGAAAUAUUAUGUGGACUCUAGAAUACCGUCACUGAGAGAUUAACCCAAACUCCCAAAGGCUUCCAUUAUUGUUUGGUUGACAUCUUUUGCAGAAUGAUAGAUUAAUAAAUAUGGCCGAUUUUGAUUGAAACCCACAUAGGUACAUAUAAAUUAGACUCAAUUAACUUAUGUCUGAAGCAUUGAGUUCAUUUUUAUGAAUUUUCAAUUUCAAAUACUUACCUAGAUAAUGAAACAUCUAUUGAAUUGAAACAAAUGAAAGAUGAAUUUUACAAUUCUUACCCAGAUAUCUACUUUUUCACUAAUAACUUCUUUUCUGUAUAGAUCCCACAUCUGCAAAGUGAACAAAUUAAUAAAAAUCAUUCAAAUUUUAAAUCACAGGUCUUUAUAGGAGAAUUAAUUGCCUAUAAAAGCAUAUAAAACUGAACCUCAGGAGAUCUAUAAGCAGGUGUAGUAUAUUUCCUGAUAUUGUCUUCUUCAAUGCCCAUCUCUCCCGGUUUGUCAAAACACUUAUGAUUGGUGGAGGUGCUCCCAAAGUCACAGAGCUUCCAAGAUCCAUCAGAUCCUAGCAAAAGGUUUUCAGCUUUCAAAUCCCUGCCAAUAAGAUAUUUUUAUUAUCAAACGAAUUACAUAUUAUAUUCAUAAUUUGGAUGUCUACAGGUUAUUUUUUGCACAGUAACAAGAAUGGAAAUAAGCACAGAACAAUUGACAAAUAAAAAUCAAACCUAUGGGCAAUUGGAGGUGACUGACAGUGCAUUG